AGAGUAAAAUAAUUUCAAAAUGAC
rnacentral:piRNA from 1 species